AAUGCAGCAGCAGCGACAAACGUAACUGCGCCGUCCGCCGCUGCAGCAAAUGCGUCUGCGGUUCCAGCGGGGAAGGCCGCCGUUGACGCCGCAGCGUGCAGCCCGAAAGGGCUGGUACCAGCUGCUGGAGCCGCCGCUAGUGUGAAUGUCACGGCGCCUCCCAAGGCUUGAGCAAGGCACACAUAGACGACAAUUGCACCAGAGCUGUCAAGCAUUUUGGAAAUUUUACAUUUUCAGGCUCCAUUGGGAUAAGCCGUCAUAUGCUUUCAAGUCAAUAAAUAAAGGUCGAUAGGAAAAUGA
rnacentral:lncRNA from 1 species